ACCAGCAGGCACGUCCCCGCUUGGAGACUGUCUGGGGUCUGUCUGAAAUUGAUAAAAAUUGGAGAUGGAGUUUUAAUUUGCAUCUGUUUUCACAAUUGUUCGAGGAAGACGCUCGUUGGAAAUGGAUUUUUAUUUCUCGCGCUACUCCUAGAGAACGCCUUCGCCAAAAAGAGUCGCCUUGCUGAGAUAUACAUGUAUUUUCUGUAAACGCUGUGAAAGUUUUUUCUCCUGCAGUGUGUCAGCAGCAGACAGCUCUUUAUUCCCAGGCUCUGCAGGGGAUCAUCCGUCAGCCUUGAGUUCAGGAGGAGUGCACCAUCCAGACUGCAGCCUGCACAAGGGCCUGAUCCAGUGUCUCACACAAAUGACUGGUAUUGCAAUUAGCUAAGAGACCCAGGGUUGUCCUGCAGCCUGUCAUGCCUCCAUGCCCUCUCCGUUGCAGUGUGACCGCCCCAUGGUCUGGCUGCCACUUCACAACAACUCCAUUGCAACAACUGCCUGGUGGAGAAUGUUAAGUGCAGAGUGGACGAGGAGGAAGAUGUCAUGCUAAGGAUGGGUUUUGGUGAUGAUGUUGCUGCUGUUGAUGCUCUCACUUUGUGCCUCUGUCAGUUGUGAUGCGUAACCACAGAGUGAGUGACAGUUGGGUCCCGAGGGAGAGCAGGGGGCCUGAGUUCUGUGACAGAAGCUUUCAGAGGAGGAGGAGGUGGAGGACUGACCGUCGUGGAAACAUCGCUCUCUGCCGUUAGACGUGGCGUUCAAAGACUAGCGGUGCAAGUAUGGAAAUGCAGAUAAGGCAUUGUUGUGGAAACAUGCCUGGGAAUUGUACAAGGCCCCCCCCCCCUUCACCACCACCACCAACAACCACCACCCCCCUUUUGCAUAAUGUUUGCAUGCUUUUUUGCAAAUGUUUUAAUCUCAGAAGCCAUGAAUUUGAUCCUGUGUGAAUGCGAUGCAGAACCGCCCAUGAGUGAAUGAGUGGGAGAGGAUUGUCAUGCCAUGCAAAUGAAUAAUAUGUGAUUAUAUUUGGGAGUAUUUGACAUCUAGGCAACUAUUUUUGUAUAUAUCUGCCUAAUUUAAGCUAAUAAUGCAUGUUGUUUUCCAGAUUUGAAUGCGUGCAGAAGCUCAGCGUUGAUUUGAGGUCACACUUUGUGUUUGUUUUUUACAAAAGAUGCCAGAAACAUGUUUGUGUAUAAUCUUCAAGGUUUUAUUAACUCUUCUUUUGCAGUGUUCAGGAGGCAGUUAAUUACACAAUUAAUACAUGAUACAAAUUAUGUACACUUAUA